UACGUAGGGUGCGAGCGUUGUCCGGAUUUAUUGGGCGUAAAGGGCUCGUAGGCGGCUUGUCGCGUCGGGAGUGAAAGCCCGCUGCUUAACGGCGGGUUUGCUUUCGGUACGGGCAGGGUGGAGUACGGCAGGGGAGACUGGAAUUCCUGGUGUAGCGGUGGAAUGCGCAGAUAUCAGGAGGAACACCGGUGGCGAAGGCGGGUCUCUGGGCCGUUACUGACGCUGAGGAGCGAAAGCGUGGGGAGCGAACAGG
rnacentral:rRNA from 1 species